GCGCGAAUUACGCUGCGCAUUUCGAGAAACCACAAAGAGAAAAUAAAAAUUUGGACGUGACGCGAAAGCUAAAACGCGAAAAUCUCAAUUCGAUAAUUGAAAGAUAUAAGGGUCAGAUAACGAAUACGGGAUGGAGAAUUACUCGAGUGUCACGCGAAUAUUAAGUAAUAAAGCCUGUUACGGGUGUUGUAAAAAUUUUAUGUCAUCAGGAUCGGGGAGUUUCGUUCGUUUUAUCUCCAAUCAAUCGGGAAGAGUCAUUAGGCGAGGCAGUGAAGAGUGAAUUCGUGUAAUCGGUUUGACGGUGAGCUGCUGCAGCGAGGAAUAUGAUGCGGAAUGAAAAUGGAACGAGAAGAGCCCGAUGCGAGGAAAAAACGGUGUUGAAGAGGCACGCAGGGGUGAAAAAUCGCCUUCGUUAUGAGGACAAAUCGCGUAUAUACAACUUGGAACUGCACGUGCCUUGAUGUUGAAGCCACUUGAGUUUCUGGAGGCCAGCAGCCGUUUGCCACCGCUUCUAAUACCGCGGCUGAAAAGCACCCGACGUUAUAAUAUACAAGGUACUUAAGAUCCAGUUAAAACCUUGAUUGGAAAAGGAGAUGAGAAGAGCAUGUCUGAGAAGCUGGAUCGGAAGCAGAAUCGAAUUUCGACGUUCGGUACAAGUUCUGAUUCAGUUCAAGUUUCGACUCAACGAUGUGGAUUAAACACACUAAUUGUUUGACUCGACUUCAAGCCUUUACCAAAAGUGUUUUCAGUCACUGGAAAGCGACACUUUUGCAUUGGCGAAAUCCGAGUCUAGCAGAUACUCGAGGGAACCGCGAGGAACGGACUGAAAGGGAUGCAGACGAGAAGACAGAAGUGGCGUAAGCACAAAAAGGGGCGAGGAGGACGCGGGGGAAGUCAACGUUACCUCCGACACACAAUGGCGUAGAGUCAACGAGCUGGAAGCAGAGCCUGUGCAGUAACUAGGAACGACCUCAGAGUGGUAUUAAAUAUGCAGGUAAAAGAGUACCACGUAUGCUUUGGAGCCCGUGGUGUUGGAGUGGUGGAGGUAGAUCGGCGCCAGCUCUGAUUUGAUGAAACGAUUCCAAGCCCGUGGAGUUGGACUCGACAGAGAAGCUGCAUCGUGCUCUCGGCACUGCUGAGCGACAAAGCUUGUGAAAAAAAUUGUCCAUUAUCGUUUUAAAAACUGACGUUUCGUUAGCCGACCAACUAACGAGGAUUUUUCGUUUUGUUCACCUUCCAACAAAGACAGAGCUAUCGAGGUGGAUGAACCUGGAUUUUGGGGGAGGGGAAAUGCCUAGACGUCAUCUCCGACUGGGAUGAUAAUGUCUGAGGGAAAUGCCUGGCUCGUACUGUCCGCUCUGUGGAAGUUGAUCCGGCUGGGUUUCCAAGUUUCAUCUCGUUACCGCGAUGUUCCACUUGCUCGGUAUAAAGUACCGGAUUCAAUUUAUUGAAGUCUGCUCUACUGCUGCUGCUGCUGCUGCUGCCGCUGCUAUAUACUCUGCGAGAAAAAGACCGUCGGUCGCACACUCUUGCCGAACAAGAGACGGCCAGAGUGAAAUGCGCCUCUUCUAUUCCGAUUGAAUUUUAUGAAGAAAUCGGUGAAAAGGGGCCAACCGAACCGAGGGUCUUUUAGGCUUUUCGGUCCUUCCAGGAGGAACUCGGAUUUGGCAAGCUCUGAUACCUUCUCACUGUUUUCAGGCUCUCCAGGUCCUUUCCAUUGUAAAAACAAGUGCGGUCUUGACAUUUAUAGACUAUAACUUGGUUUCGAUAAGACACUGCCUGAUUUUUGAUUUCCGUUAUGACCAUGAAAAUUGCUCUAUAUUAAUCAUCACAUUUGCCAAUUUUUGCCAAUUUUUCAUCGUCGAAAACGUUGGAUUGAGACAAGAUUUUAAAAUCAAUCACAAAAUUGUUUUUCACGUAGUUUCAGAAACUGAUAUAUACAUCAUUGCGAGUGUUUUAGAGAAAUUUUUAACCUAUACAUUCGUGAGGACGGUUCUCGAACUUUGGUGUGAGUACAACUUACUAUCAUCGAAACACAUUUCUAUGAAUUUUCACAAAAUAUUAGAUCACAUCGAAGGUCGUAACAAGGUUUUGUACCACAAAUUUCAUACGGAAAACUGAGCUGAUUUCAAUGAAAAUUGGACAGUCCUCUCCGGACCAUUUUCACAGAGACAAGUUUCAGCAACUUUUUUAAUCUAUUUCCAUUUUCGGUUUUCAAAAAUACUCAACGAACUUUAAAAGCCAAUCUUCUAUCAAGCAAAGCUUUCGUCUAACUCGCUAUGUGAGACUCUGUUUCAGGUGGUUCCGAGGGAAACAUCGAAAAUUACCGUCAUGCGGCACGAUGCCGGUUUGUAUCACGGGGAAAAAAUCCUUAGGGUACAACACACGCAGAGAAUCGGAGAGAGUAGCUGAGGGCUCAACUGGAACGAGCUUGCAGAGCUGUAAGCAUCCAUCGCGGCUACUUUCCUGCAGGCGGAUGGAAGUACAUUCGCAUCGUUGGGAUCAGAAGUGACCCGAGAAGUCGCUGGAUCCGGCACUCUCGAAUUGCUUAAUUUCUUCCAAUUCUACUCAGAUCGUUCUCGGCCCCCAGGAGACUCGGAGCCCUGCAAUUACACCUUACACGCACCGAAGAGAUGAGCUUGUCGCAGGCUGAGAUACGCGGGUUCACUGCUUAAAGGAGACGGAAUCGAGCAGGAGAGGCAAGAGAACGGGAAAAGGACUCUGGUUCUAACAGCCGACUUCAGAUUUCAAGCUCCGUAGCUACGCUCAAUCAUCGCUAGUUCUGGUCUUCGUUAAGCUGAGUUGAGCCGGGUCGCGAUUCCGACGCCCAGGACUUUAUGAGUUUGCCAACCCGGAGGAGGACAUCGGGGUAAAGCUUCGUCACCGAACACCCAGCUACACCUGGCUGACCUCCUCCCCAGGUGGCCGCAGUGUAAGGACAUUUAUGACCGAGCAUAGCGCCGGAAGUGAACGACGAGAUACUGCGCGCUCGGCAUCCCGACUGAGGGGCCGGCGUCGCGACGCGGGC
rnacentral:lncRNA from 1 species